rnacentral:rRNA from 1 species
GACGAACCUUGCUAACGUUAUUCGGAAUUACUGGGCUUAAAGGGUGCGUAGGCGGUGCGGAAAGUUGGGUGUGAAAUCCCUCGGCUCAACCGAGGAAUUGCGCCCAAAACUGCCGCACUAGAGGAAGACAGAGGUACGCGGAACUUAGGGUGGAGCGGUGAAAUGCGUUGAUAUCCUAAGGAACACCGGUGGCGAAAGCGGCGUACUGGGUCUUAUCUGACGCUGAGGCACGAAAGCUAGGGGAGCGAACGGGAGUUAGAAACC